AUGUUAGUAGGGCUGGGGUUUCAUUCUGUGCCUGACUUUGUACUUGUAUUAAUUUUUUUUCUGUAGUGUGGAAGAACAGUAAUCUGGGAGAAUACCUUGUAUAACUCAGACUUCUGCAUUUACUCUGUUCUUCCAAGCACCAGGGAACAUCUCUUGCCCUCAGAGAAACAGUGUAAGCAGUAUAAUCUCCUUGGGGUCAAAGUCUCCUCAAACGAGCAAAGGUGAGAUAUACUGGCUGAUCCUCAAAGCCCUUUUAUGUGGGUCUGCCAGCUCCGGACAUGAUGCUAAGUAACCAUCUACCCCCAGCUGCUUGGGUUGCAGCUGGAGGGGGUGAGUUAUCUUUUCACGUGUGCUUCCAGGGUCAAAAUUCUGGCUCCAUAUUUUGAAACUGUAAACUACAGCCCCUUGUGCUCCUGUUUGACUGUAUCAUGACACCUCCAUGAACUACAUGCAAUCAGGAAUGUGGUUUGACAAAUUCCUUAAUCCCUGCUCAGAAGAGGCAGGAUUAUGCUUUCUAUGCCAGGAAAAGGCUCUAGAUGUGUACUUAUUUUACUAAAGCCAAAUACAAAACAGGUUCAGGGGCCUAGUUCCAUGCACUGUGCCCACAGGAUUUCUUCCUCACUGGCUAGAUUUUUUCCUCGCCCACGGACACACAGCUUGUCUGUAUUGUUCCGAAAUGGGAACAGAGCCAUUGCCCCUAGAUCAGAUUCAGAAACACAGCCAUCAGCCAUGUGAACCAAAGCAACAGUUGUGAUGAGCAAAUUGUCUUGAUAUCUUGACGAGGAUGUUUCUUUGACUUGGGUGCUGGACUUGGAUCAAAACUUGGCAUCAAAGCUGCAAAAAAAGAUGAGUCUGACAGUAUGUGUGUGUGGAGAGGGGCGAAUUAAGUGGAGAGCGAACCAAUGUUUCACUUAUCCUUGAUCAUCUUUUUGCAGGGGCUGUUGAAUGUUCAGUGACUGCGUUCCUGCUGGGGACUAGCAGGAGUACAAGUGGGAGCUUGAAUGGACGUAGCUUAGAUACAUGGAGGCUGCAAAGCAUGGAUUUGUUCUAAACAGAUAAACAGAGAAUGGAAAAAGGGCUGCCAUGGAGAAGCUGCUCUCACCUGACUGCACAGAGAGCCUGGCCAGGGAUGGUAAAAAUGUACAAGCCGGAAGCCUAAAUACUGCUGCUGGGUCUAAGCUACUUGACUGCUGGAUAGGCAGCAGUAAAGUGAAUUGUUAUAUUAUUUAUCUCAUUUUUUUAAUGGUUUUUAAAAAAUAAAAACCUCAUGUGGUGUAGUUUUUUAAGACACCAUGGCAUAAAGCAACUCAAUGUGUAUGUGUAAAUGAUCAGUCCUACUGGUCCAAGUCUGUUAGUGCUAAUAUUGUCUGCACUGCUUUGCUGUUCUCCUAAGGAUGAAGCUGUUUCAAAUAAAAGGUGCAAAUGACAUUUUUGCAAGGCUGACUUUGAACUUGGAGCUAGAGCUCUCAGGCCCUCCCAAGUGCAGACACAGCUAUCUCCGUCUGUGCACCAGAUGGAGACAAAAGAAUAGCAGAUGUUGACCUGUGAUCUGGAAGUUAUUGGAGCCAGCUGUGUUCACCACUAGUGGAGUUAGGUGUCUGUGCUUGGGAUUUGUCUCUACCACAGAGGAAACUGUUGGCUUGCCUGGCCUCAGUAGGUGUAGGUCACUAUGGGCUGUAGCUGGUUCUAUAUUAGGCUAUACCUCUGUUAUAAUUUUUGCUGUGUUUAUUGGUUCUUGGUUGAUCAAUAUGUUCAGUCACAGUGUAAUGUGGAAGAACUUGGCUGGCCUUUCCCAGCAUCUGUAGGAGUACAUUUUUAACUUCGAUAUCAGUUAAUUUAAUUGCCAGAAACCAACAAGGCCUUUUGGUUGCUAGACAUCAACUUAGAGAGAAAGAGGAGAGAUCCAAUUUAUAACACAGAGUAGAAGAAGUGCUGACAUAGCAUGUUCUGCCAGUGAGACCAGAAUGAAUGUAUGUGGCACAGGAGAUAACCAAUGCAGAAUUUAAUAGCUGGGUGUUCAUUCUGGAACAAGCCCUGCAGCACUGAGUGCAGAGAUUGCCUUUUUAUGCAGGUAAAGCAUGUCCAGCAUGUCAUACCCUGUGGUUUCAGAACUUGCACAUCAAAAGACAACCUGCAUGAAAGUCUACCUUAGAUCUUCACUAAUAGCAAGUUUAUGUCAACAGCUAAGCCUGGAGCUGGCAAACUUGUUGCUGAGGCUAGGAUGGUGGUGCAGUUACCUGGUGAUGUUCAAGAGAGUUCUCGUGUUUUAGAUGGGGCAGGUUGCUGUUCUUCUGGGGAUGGACUUGUCAAAGGACUCAUGAAAUGCAUGGGGGCUGUCAACAGCUCAUCUGGGCUGGAAACUGUUAACUGCUGCUGAUGAACAUGAGUACACAUAGUUGGAUUUGAAAUUAAAGCUUGUCUGAGAACCACCACUUCUAAAUGUCCUUGACCUCGCCAAGAGUCCUUUCCAGCUGGUAAGAGGUGUUUUUGUGACUUUAACCUACUGCUGUUUUAUUAUCACUUCCCACUUUUCUGGUCUAGAAAGACCUCCAGGGGGUUCUAAGCAGGGGAAAAAAUAUUAAUGUUGCAUGGUCUUAGUACAGAGGUUAGCUCAUUUCAAGAUUUUCACAUCAGGUGGGCUUGAUUUAUUUCAUUUCAAUGUGAAUUUGAGGAAGAAGACUGAGUGUAAUCAGCCAGUAUAGCACCUCUCCAUCAAGAGGAAAAAAGAGGGUGAGUGGGAGAGUAAUGUUUCUACCAGUUUCUCCAAACCAUCAAACAAGCUGCUGACAAGACCAAAAAAAAAAAAAAAAAGCCCUUGUGGCUACUCUGAAGCAGCACUGUUGUAUGUGUUGGUUUAAGAUACGUGACACUUGUGAGCAUGGAGGAACAAUUUCUGAAUGAAACUACUAAGCUGUAAAAGUACUGGGGGGAAAAAAAUGGAAGCUCCGACAAUGGCUUCCUGUGAAAGAGUAUAGCUGUGUGGAGGAUGCUUGAUGUGGAGCAGGAAUAAUCAAUUUCUCAAAUCAAGGACCAGGGAACAAAUGGCCACAUAACAGUUCUGCAGAAAAGAAGUGGCAGGCAGCAGAGCCCACAGAUGCUGUGGGUUUGGAUCCAGCUUGUGAACCAUUGCAGCAAUUGUUCACAAGCUGUUUCUGAUCCCCUACAGCAUCAUGAUACAAUGGAAAGGCAGGCAUUACACCAGAGUGUAAGCAGCUCUAUCACAUAUAACAAAGUUGGAAUAGACUUUUCCCUCCAAACUGUGCUUAGGUCCUUGCUGUUGUGAUAUGUUCCAUGUUGGACGCUGAAGGAAGUAAAGUAGAGUGCAGAAGUGAUUAGUAAGGACUCUUAAAAGAAAAAAAAUACAGAAAAAUGGAAUCUAAAGAGCUUCAUUUUUGUUUUGAGGAGCUGGAAGCAUUUACAUGAAUGAAUCCUGGAACACUUAUUAGGUUACUAUGAAAACGGAAGAGGAAAGAACAAGAAAGAAUGUGAAAAUAUCACCUGUAGCUGGUAUCUUCUGAUAUGCCAAAUAUUCAGACUUUCAGAGAAGAAACACUUUAUUGCUUAGCUGAUCCAAAACAAUUAAAAGCUUUGGCCCAGUAACUAAGUCCUUUAAAUAGAAACAUGUAUUAAAUAGCAUCCUCUCCAAGGUCAGGCAGCCAGCUUAGCCAUUAGUGACCAGGAGAGCCCAGCCAAUGCUGUGUGGCUGCUUCUGACCCAGCAAUUGU